rnacentral:rRNA from 1 species
GAUGAACGCUGGCGGCGUGCCUAAUACAUGCAAGUCGAGCGAACAGACGAGGAGCUUGCUCCUCUGACGUUAGCGGCGGACGGGUGAGUAACACGUGUAUAACCUACCUAUAAGACUGGGAUAACUUCGGGAAACCGGAGCUAAUACCGGAUAAUAUAUUGAACCGCAUGGUUCAAUAGUGAAAGACGGUUUUGCUGUCACUUAUAGAUGGAUCCGCGCCGCAUUAGCUAGUUGGUAAGGUAACGGCUUACCAAGGCGACGAUGCGUAGCCGACCUGAGAGGGUGAUCGGCCACACUGGAACUGAGACACGGUCCAGACUCCUACGGGAGGCAGCAGUAGGGAACCUUCCGCAAUGGGCGAAAGCCUGACGGAGCAACGCCGCGUGAGUGAUGAAGGUCUUCGGAUCGUAAAACUCUGUUAUUAGGGAAAAACAAAUGUGUAAGUAACUAUGCACGUCUUGACGGUACCUAAUCAGAAAGCCACGGCUAACUACGUG